rnacentral:rRNA from 1 species
AGUGAACGCUGGCGGUAGGCCUAACACAUGCAAGUCGAACGGCAGCACAGUAAGAGCUUGCUCUUACGGGUGGCGAGUGGCGGACGGGUGAGGAAUACAUCGGAAUCUACUUUUUCGUGGGGGAUAACGUAGGGAAACUUACGCUAAUACCGCAUACGACCUACGGGUGAAAGCAGGGGAUCUUCGGACCUUGCGCGAUUGAAUGCGCCGAUGUCGGAUUAGCUAGUUGGCGGGGUAAAGGCCCACCAAGGCGCCGAUCCGUAGCUGGUCUGAGAGGAUGAUCAGCCACACUGGAACUGAGACACGGUCCAGACUCCUACGGGAGGCAGCAGUGGGGAAUAUUGGACAAUGGGCGCAAGCCUGAUCCAGCCAUACCGCGUGGGUGAAGAAGGCCUUCGGGUUGUAAAGCCCUUUUGUUGGGAAAGAAAAGCAGCAGGUUAAUACCCCGCUGUUCUGACGGUACCCAAAGAAUAAGCACCGGCUAACUUCGUG